rnacentral:lncRNA from 15 species
AUGAGCCAUGUCUGCGCUUUAACGCCGGCCAGUCUGCUAGCUGGCUGCAAACUGUGGAAUGGAUUUCCUGAAUGGAGGUGCGGCUCAAUGAGACACAGAGUUAUGAGACGCCUCCGCUCAGGAAAUCCAUUCCGCAGUUUGCAGCCAGCUAGCAGGAUAGCAUUGAGCAGCAUUGUGGCUAGCCAACAUGUCCGCUGUGUGGAAAUACUUUACACUGGAAACACCGCAGAGCAAGACAGCAAAAUGCAAUGUUUGCAAAGCCGUAAUUCAGAGACGCGGAAGCGCCCUCGCGUCGUACAACACUACGAACGCAAUCAAACAUAAAAAAAAAAAAACACAAGAAAGACCACAAGGACGAGCUGUCAGGAAUCACUUCUGGAGUCAUUCCAGAAACAAGGUAAACUCCAGGCAGACAGUGUGUGCGUGUGUGUGUGUGUGUGUGUGCGCGUGCGUAAGAUGUUUAGUUAUUGCACUUUUCAAACCUUGAUUUGUUGAUGCUACAAGGGCUAGUGCUUGUGGUGUUCAGAUUCAGACACUGUUUUAUUGAUAGUGUGUGUGUGUGUGUGUGUGUAAGAUGUUUACACACUUUUCUUAUAUUUCAAGACUCAAAUAUUUGACAUUUUGGGAAUUUAAUAAAUAUUGACAUGACAAUCAAUUUGAAACCCUUACAGUUGCAUAUUUGUUUUCAGAAUGAGAUUUUUCCUGUUAACAGAAUUUCCUGUUUUUCUGACUUCCUUUUCUGACCUUAUCUGUGUGAAAGAGCGUCUGCAGCCCGGACAUCAAGCUCAUCGCCGUCGGACUUCGUCCGUGUUGUCUGCCACGGGAACUUUUCCAGUGCCAUCACUGUCUAUAUUCCUCACAGUGGUCUUCAUCAUCACCAUCACUGUUUACAUUUAUGAUGUCCUAUUUAUUCUCCUGUACAGCACUUUGGUCAACUUUGGUUGUUUUUAAAGUGCUUAACAAAUAAAGUUGGAUUGGAUUUGGAUUAUAAUUACCUCAAGUUGCCUUUUGGGACAUACAUGCAUACAUACGUAC